AGAGGUUCGUUGGAUACUGGGUUAGCCAACGGCGGAACGAACCAAGCGACUGUAUCGUGUUCGCCUGACUUUCGCCCUCUUCCGUUUCUUUUUCAUUUUUUUUUUUUUUUAUUUAUUUUCCUUUUUUUCUCAUUUUUAUGCAGUAUCCGUACGCGGGUAUUCCCCCGUCCGCGUGAAAAGUCUUGGGACGCGCGUGCGUGCUGCCAUCUGUCAGGUGCGCGGUGCGGUAUAAAGGAUGAACAGAAGCGGGAAAUUCGAAUUGGGCAAGGGGAUUCUGCUAUCUGUGUUGUGGUUGCGUUUUCGUCUGAUUAGCAAGUGUCUUUUGCAGAUUUUGAAAGACGGUGCACUAUUUUCGGCGUGAAUCUGAGUUUGUGAACGUGUGCACAACUACGUCAUGAUGUUAAAAUGUUACACAACUAGAAGUAACUUUAUAGAUCGAUAAGAAAAUACUCGUCAUCAAUUUCUCACGAAAGAAGCGUGUAACGAAUGAAUCCGCGAGUUGAGAGGAGCCGUUACAGAUGUCACCCUGGUCGACUUACGACGUUGAUCCAAGACUUUUCGCGUCGCUUGGGGGGAUACUCAGAUGACCCAGGUUCGACGGCCCUUUCCUCUCGACCGUGCACGAUCGGUAAAAAUGUUGGAUUUUACGAGCACAAAUUACAAGGACUCGACUCAUGACAAUCAUGCUCUGACAUUCGGGGGUUAAAACAAUGAAUUUCCAUAGUAUGUAUCUGACACCUUGACGACAUCGUGUCUAGGUUACCACUACUUCCAGCUACGAUUCUGACAGAAAUCAAUUUUAUUGUCAAAUCUUAUGUUUUAUCAUUUUUCGUACACUGUAAAAAGUUUCAAAGAAAAAUAAUUUUGAAGAUGUCAUUUGAAAAUUAUACAUUCGGUCAUAUGAGACUUAUAAAUUUAGUUCGUCCUAAACCAUCUUGUAUGACCUUCUUUAUUCUUAUAUCCUUUUUUUUAAUUUCAUAAUCCUUAAUUUCUUUUUCUUUUUUGUCAGAAUCGUUACAGGACAACACUCGAUAGACAGAGAGAAAGAGACUCUUGGUGCUUCUAUCGAAUUUCGAAUGCAGAUCAGAGAAGGGUGCAAAAGAGGCUCAAGUGUAACGAAACCAUAAUAAUAAUAAAUAAUAGUAGUAAUAAUAAUAAUAAUAAUAAUAAUAAUACAAUAAUAAUAAUAAUAAUAAUAAUAAUAAUAAUAAUAACAACAGAAAGACAAAAACGAAUCAAAAUGCAAUCUGUGUGUGUGUGUGUCUGCAUGUGUAUGUGUGUGUGUGCGCGUGUGUCUGUAUGUGUGUGCGUGCGUGUCUGUCACCACGUGCGUCGUGCGCCCGACCGAUACCAAAUAUGUAGGAAAUUUCGAUUUCUUUCUCUUUAAUUUGACGACAAUGCAUCUUCAAAUAUGCGCUCUUUGAAUCGAGUAAUUUUGACGUUAACUGAAUUAUAAUUAGUUAGAAAAUAACAUGGGGUGAGUCGGUGCAUGCGUAUCCAUUGUAAACGUGCAUUUGACUACCUUAAUUGACCUCAAGGAUCGAACAUUUCUUGAUCGACCGAUCGACGCAACAAUAAAUUUUUUAACUACGACAAUUAUGACAUAAUAGCUUGAAUAUUCUUCUUUCCUCGUAAAAUACGUAGUUGAAUAAUACUAAAGUUAACUCAAAAGUAGCUAAAACUCUGUAUAUUUAUUCUUGUAUAUUUUUAUCAUUCAGAGUAACUAAUUUUCACUUCUUCUAUAAUGAAUAAAUUUAACUUUGGUUGAGUUCGUAAUUUUACAAUAUUUAGCAUUGAUGUUUAAAAACAUUAUUAGAUAAUAAUAUAGUAUUUUUAUUCGUGUCAAAGGCAAUUUCAUAUUUAUAAAAAAUUGUCCUCAGAUCGAUCAAGAGUAAUUCUGAUUACAAUUUUUAAUACAAAACAUGCGUACGUGCUCGCGAUUCACCCUGAGAAUUAGACCUUCUUGCCACACGUCUAUGCCACACGCUGUCAUAUAGAUCAUCCACAUAUACUCACGAAUGCGUCAUCUGCAAGUGCUUUAUCAGUUGUACCAACUUUGCCCAGAAAAGUACUAAUGCAAAGUUAUCGAAUAACCAAUGGAAACAUCGUCACACAAUUAUUCCGAUAUCAACUUGAUUCACAUCUAAGGACUUGCAAGUCUACACGUGGCAUAGACGACCAGAGUGGGUGUAACCCAAUACAAGAAAAAGUUGAGAAAUUGGAAGCCUGGUGACCAGCGUGCGGCGAUCAACGAACGCAAGAGACCUCUAUGAACGAAUGAACCAGAUUACUCUCUCUAGUGGAUUCUAAACGAACGUUACAACACAGAGAAAUGUAAAGUUUCAAACGAAGAUACAAAUAAGAAGCGAGUGGGGUUGGGACAGCGAUAGCUAGAGUGGAAGAGAAAUAAAGUUACCAAUGUGCUAUUCGAUGAAGCAGGCAGAAGGAAAACGAAAGCAUUUGAGAGCUCGUGGGCGCUUAAAUAAGUGACAAGUAAGAAAUAGAAAAAAGAAGAUAGAGAGAAAAAGACAUUAAUAAUAAAUAAAAAAGAAGAAGAAGAGGCGGGUAGAGAAGAUUAUAGGUGAGGUAGAAGUGACGUGAUUACCGAUGCACACAACACGCGCUAUUGCUCACCAAUUGGGCGCAGUACGGCACCUGCAAGGAUACCCAUCGUUAGGCUAGUCAGGGACUUAACACCUGUUCCGAAUUACAGUGGCGCGUAAGGAAGAGGAUUCGUGACAGGAAGGGAAUGAAGGGUCCCAUCAGGCACGUGCCAAGGAGAAAAAAGUACUCGAGAGGUAACGGUGCGUAAAGCUGGAUCCCCUGGCACUCGUGAUCACGGAUUACAUUAGAUCGUCGAUCAAAAUAAUGAUAGCUCCCGAGACUCUCGAGAAACCCUCGAAAAAAAAAACUUUAUUCUGCGUAAUUUCUCCUCAGACAUUUUAUAAGCACCUAUUAUAUUUACUGUCUGUAAGACGCUGUAAAAGUGUAAUGAAAUAAUUUCCUUAGCAGUAUAACUCGUAAAAGUAUGAUAAUAGAACUUUCUUUUAAUGUCUUUUUCUUCUCGUUUUUUUUCAAAUAAUUUAAACGAUAGUCAGCUGUAAUUAAUUUGUCUGUAUUAACAUUUUUUUAAGAGGCAAAAUCGUGACAUAAAAAUAUGUUAUACAUAAAAGAUUAUACUUAUAGUUACUACUACUUCUACUUAUAGUUAUAAGUAAAAAGAUAUGAUAAAAAUGAAUAUACAGGGUGGUUGGUAACUGGUGGUACAAGCGGAAAGGGGGUGAUUCUGCGCGAAAAAAGAAGUCGAAAAUAUAGAAUACAAAUUUUUUUUUAAUUCUUUCUUUUUCUUUAAAAAAUGUUUCCAUCGAAGCAACGAUCUACAGUGAGAUCCGUUAUAACGUACCGCAUGCGUACCGAACGAAAAUGCAAAGUCGAUUUUCUCGAAAACAAAGCCUCGAACGGAAAAUUUUUAUUCUAUAUUUUCGACUUCUUUUUUCGCCUAGAAUCACCCCCUUUCUGCUUGUACCACCAGUUACCAACCACCCUGUAUAUAUAUACAUAUCUGUAUCGAUAAAAUUCAACGUUAAUUUGGUAAAAAUCCCUUCAUAUUUUUAACAAUUACAAGGAUUGAUUCUGACUGAAUCAUUCUGACUGGUUUGGUCGUUCCAAGUGCAGUAUUUAGAGACGAAACGAAGGGGUAACGAAAGAAUCGAUAUAGUUGAUGUGAACGUAAGUUAUCCGUAAGUUUAGCUUUAGUUUCGUUUAUGUUCAUAGAUAUGUAAAACCAAGUCCAAUUCCUGGACCAUUUGGCUGAAAUAAAUAGAUACAUAUACAUCGUCAUAUCAUGUACAAAGAGUAAAGUUGGCUGAACUACAAUUGAUUAAUGCACGAACUAUUAAUUCUAUAAUUAUAGAAAUUUUUAGUUAAUAAAUGGCCCGUUAAACGUAUUCGAGAGUCUUACAACCGAAACUUCGCACACUGAGCGACGCAAGGCGUCAACGCGUUUGACAAUCGGUCGUCGCUCGAACAAUCCAAAAACCAAUCGACAGUGUACAGUGACUGAAAACCAACUGGACGCUUAUGUACAUGUUUGUAUGCGGCUACGUACGUGUGAUUCAACGCGCCGAGGAAGGGUGCGCCAUGUUGUCUGGCCGCCCCGCAUUGCGCCAGUGAACUCGGCAAAAUCCGGACACAACCCGGCCGCCCGUAUCUUUCACUCACUGAAAUACCCUUUCACAGAUCUAUUAUCUCUUCUAUACUUCAUGCAAGAAAUAUAGCAAGCUGUUCUAGGCGCGUUCGAAUGGCAUAGAAAACGAUACCGUGUGAGCCAUACGAUAAAUGCAUAGCCAUUCUUCAUGGGAUGAAUCUACACACUGAAAAUAAGCAGAAAACGUCCAACGAAUAUGCGUCCUGCGUAUCUUAAUUUUCCUGUAAAGGAUGCGUAAAGAAAAAGCGUUUCAAGUUUCCGCCUCGUUUCCUUUUUGCAGUAAGAACAUCCUUUAACUGGAAGAGAUGGGACCAUUGCAUUGGCUAUCAUGAUCCAAAUCUAUUAGGUCUUUGUUUUUGGGUCAUUCAACAUCCAUUGUGUGUUCAACGUAAGCGAACAGUGUAUACGAUCUAUGAGAAAGGAUACAAAAUUGACAUUGGGCUACUCGAAGAAUACCUGGUACUUUCGAACGAGUACGAAACUCAAUGUUCAGACACGAGGCGGUUACUUGGGACAUUUUCUUUGAUCAUUCGUAAUUCGAAAACUAAUUUAUGUAGGACAUAUAUCUGUCAGGUAUAUUUUACUUAUUCAGAUAUCAUGAAAAACUAAAAUUCCCUUUACAUUAUAUAUUUUAACCUCUGCAUCGUGAAUAUUGUUAUUUUAUCGAAUAUAUGUGGUUCUAUCCUACUGACUAUUUUGCUGGCCAUUGUAGAAAGAUGAAUGCAACAAAAAUUUAUCAUAUCCUCGGGGUAACAGGGAAAAACGAAAAAUUCCCUAUUACGGGCGAUUUUACGUUACAUCAUCCAUCAAUGUCGCAAUGUACCUCGUUCCUUUGCCGCAAUUACGAUUCUUCCGUUGCGGAUGCAGCCUCCUCCAGGACUCGUCCUCGUUUCCGCACUAUCAACCUACUUCCUCGAGCGAUGCAGGUUGAACGCGACCGAUCGUUGUCGGAUUUUAGGGCAUCUUCUCUUGAAAAACGGCGUCGAAAACAAUUUUGCCGGAUUAGUCGUGCGAUUGUUGCGGCUGCAACGGUUCCAGCCAGACUGAAACUGUUUCCGUGGCACUGGUCACGGUUACGCCAAUGGAAUUCUCUUUUUGUCCUCGUUGUAACAGUCGAUAGCGAGGAUAAUUGAUCGAGGACACAUUUACAUCCUUAUACGUGUGUUUAUUUCUCUUUCAUCUUGGCUUCUUACUCUUCUUCUCUUCGAAACAUUAAAUCAACGACAUUCGCAGUUUUAUCGGUUUACUAUCAUCGUCAAGUUAACUUAUCACCUUCUUAUUUAAUUUGCGAUCGCGUGUAACACAAUGGAUUAGAGAAUUUAUAAACGAACGACGAGUGGAUACUUGUGAAUAAAUAUUUGCGAACAAAAUUAGCAACUUGUGACGAAGAAGCCUGCAAAAUAUAUAAAAAGCCUGGCCGUCGGAGAAUACUUUCAGAGAAUUGUAGAAGUAAUAUAAUAAAGAGAAAAUAAUAAAUCUUAUGUAAGCACGAUGAAUCUUGGCUCUAAAAAGGACCCAGACAAAAUAUAUACAUAGGAUACAAGUUACACACGUGGUAUGUAUUGUUGAUGCUCUGCUGAUUUAAAUAGAAAUGAUUAUUCUACCGACCUUGCAAAAUAAUAUUUCACCUCUAGCACCCGCUUUAAAAGCUUUUAUUUAUAGAAGUACUCGUGCACCCUGAUUUAAGGACUAACAUGGUCAAAUUAUGGUAGCCGAAAAUUUUAUUUACCAUAGCUUCCAGCAAGACAUAAGACUGUUGCUCGUAAUUAGAGUUCUAACGAGGCAGAAAUGUUAGUUCCUGUUAUAUUUAGCGGUAAACGGAUGGGGAGAAGUUGUCAUAUGGAGAAUGUAUGGGGCGCCAGGUGUUGCUACGCGAUCUCCUUUUGCAACACCUGCCUCGCGGGAGGUAUUACCUACGGAAUUCACAUAAAUUAGACGUUUCCGCUAACCAACAAACAAACAAACCUAACCCUGUCGCAAAUAUUUUGUGUCUCAAUGAUAAUUUCCUAAUUAUUCCACAAUCUUUUCGUAUUUCUCUCGCACCGAAGGAAUAAUUUUCUAAAGAAGAAAAUAAAACUCGAAAUUGGCCGAAGCAGCGCAGUAGAUUGGCAUAUUUUCCAAAGCCAACCUGGAACUUCCCUUUUCACCUAAAGAAAAACACGAAAACAAAUUAGAUUCGGAUAUUCGAACGAAUGUCCCCGGCAUCUGUCAACAAUUUACUCGAAACAAGAUAAAUUCGGCUAUUUUAAGGAACCCCGCGGUACAACUUCCAGACACCCCAUAAGAAUCCCGAGAAAAACAGUUUAAAGUAUGUAGACCGAAAACGUCGACAAGGACGAGGAUUGAGUUCAAUUUAUCAAACGCAUAUAUAGCAAGCCCUCAAGCCUAAAAGCAACAAUCGGCGAAAAGAGAGUUUCGACUAAGCGAAGAGAAACUGGGAGCCAAAAAUAAUGUUCCCUCGAAUUUAUUCGAUGCCAUCGUCUCUUUUUUCUUCUUCUAUCUCUUUCUGUUGAAAGUUUUCUCUUCUUUCGUGAUGGCAAAUGGCCGCGAGUGCCGCGGGGAAAAGAAGAAGGAAAGAACAGAGGAACAAGGCGAACGACAACCAACGACUACGACGAAAGUCAAGAACGUGAAGUGCCUACGAAUGUGGAGAAGGCAAAUUGAAGAUGCGAAGAUCUCGAAAAACCUUCGUGUCUAUUACCACGAUAUGGAUCGUCCUUGAUGAGUCGAGGUCGCUGGUGAAACGAGAUCGUCGAUCCCCUAGGGUGAUUGUUGUGUGUUUGGCAUCAAUCAUAGCCAUUUCUCCGAAGGGUUCCGCGUUAAAAAACUUCCAACGAGUUCCAACGAUUCCUUUAGUCGGCCAUAAUAAGAUACUUGACGAGGCAAGGUAAAUACUCGUAAACUGAACGUUUGCCAUUUGAAGGUAUUAUCUUUUGAAUGUCGCAUCUAGUAAUUUCUGUCGUUUGCAAGUACAUGUCCAAUUCUACGAGAUAGCUACAGGUAUGAAUAUUCAAACUGUUUGUAUAUUAUUGUUUAAAAUCGGUAUAUUUAAUUUUUGCACGUCUUGGAGAAAUAACAUAGUAAAAGCAGCGGACAAUGCCGAAGCAAAGAUGGUUACUUAAAAUGAAGACAUUUCUGGUGCAAAAAAGAAUACAAUUCCAAGAAUAGGUAUUUUAGUAGCAGUGAAUGUGUUAAGACGAACAUGUCGCGUUGAAAUUCGUCUCACGAAGAUACUUCGAACGAGACGAACCGUCCUUGAUGCGACGCCACGAAGACAUUCGCACGUUCGAAGGCAGCGGUCGUCGUGUUUCACCUCGGCGGACGUUGUUGGAUGAAAAUCGGUGGAAAUAUAUAUACAUCGAAAUAACGUUCGACGAGACUAUUUUAAGCUGCACCCCGUCACCAAUUGAAAUAAUGAUUUUGCGAAAAUUUAUAGAAAUUGGUUUCGGCGUGGGCAAUUUCUUUCGAAAAUUUUGUUGUGCCUUCUAAUGCUUUCAUCGUCGAUCUAGGUCGUACAACUUUUCGUUUAUUUCCUUAUACCAUAUGUGUUUGUGUAUAUCAAGUGUUUGUUACAUAUUAAAUUUGUGAAAUGCAUUAGUAUAUCGAAUACAAUGUGACCAAUAAGAAUAAGGAAAUUAAUACGAAGAAUAGCAGACAUUGGUGUCGGUUUAGAAGCAAAGUGUAUACAAUUUAAAACGGAUAAAACACUAUAUAUAAAAUAAUCAAAUAAGCAGAGAUACUCUAAUUAUUUCAAAUAAAGCAUUUUUCACCACACUUUUCAUCGAUAAAAUCCUCCAGUCGUCGAGGAACAAUCCUUCUAGAAGAGUAAAACGAAAAAGAAGAAGAGGAGAAGACCAUAAAACAGUGAAACAAAACGAAAAAAGAAAGAGUCACGAUGGAUCUGUUUAUUGCCAGCCGGAAUAAAAAUCACGGUGCUGGGUGGGUGGCGCGUGGUUUCGCGACGAGGAGCAACGUGGUAAUGUCAACGGCUCUUGUAUCAGCUAGAGAGCCACUCGCCCUCUUCCACUGUCUUCUUCCUUUCAGCCUCCUCUUCGGGCCUCACCUCUCUACUCGCGAAAGAUGCAAUCAAUUAUGACGACUUUACAAUUCCCUUCUUGUCGUCCGCGUCGUCUGCCACUUCAUUCGCUUCCCCGUCAUCUCUUCAACCUUUUUUUAUUUGUCUUCUUACCACGGAACGUCUGGCGGAUUUAAAUUUCGCGCGCGUGCGACCGCUAUGGGCCACUCGAUAAUUAUUAUUGAACGAUUAGGAUAUCGAUGAUUUUUUAUAAUUUCUGGCAUUAUACCAAUUAAUACUGGCAAUACUGAUUAAUUGUCGGAUCAAUGUCGAUGAAUUAUUUAUAACGAAUUUUAAUAAUUCAAUUACACAUACUCUUCGUAAUACGCAACGUAAGUAAAGUUUAAAAUUAAAAUUUGCAACUCCGUGUUCUUUCGUGCGAUUGGCGAAUGGUUAAAAUGCUUUCUUGAACUGUUAUUAAUAGAUAACGAAAUAAAAAUAUUUGAAUAGAUUUGAAUAUUUAUUGAUAAGAAUAGGAAUAUCAAAAUUAUUUUGAUUAAUUAAGGAUAUUACUUAUAGCAAUCCCAUCUACAUAUAUCUUAUAUAUUCUAUGACUGAUGAUAAGUUCAUUAAAUUUCUAAAAUUUGACUAAUUAAAAAUAUUGUUUGUAGCGAUCCUAUCUAUACUUUAUAAAUUUUAUUAUUAAUAAUGAACUUGAUGUAUUUUAUAAACAAUUAAAGUAACCGCGAAGCAAUUUCAAAGUUGCAAAUAUUCGGUUAAAGAAUAGAGAGAAAGGCACGAAGAAUAAUCAUAAUGAUCAUAAUGGGAAAUUUUAUAUCGUAAAACUGUUACAUAUAUAUUCCCAUGAAAAAUACUGGGUGGUCCAUGUCACGAAAUCGGUCAGUUGGUACGUCGUAUUUUUAAAUCAGGCAACGGUAGUCGACUACUAGUAGCAAAUAAUUUUUACUCGGUGCGACACCGGCGCCGUUUCAGCUCGCGUAGGCGAGGUUAGAUUUACUCGCGUUGAACCAUUCGCGUCUGGCCGGCGUCUGGAGUCGCGUCUCGCUCGUAAAAUCAUCAGUCGCUCACAGAAUUGGCCGGUUGAAAUGAUUACGCGCUUUUUACGAUACUCGACUUUCAUGUUGUCUCAUUUUCGUGAGUUUCAUUGUAACGUUGUCGGAUGUAUGACGCUGUCAUCGAUGACACAGUUCUUCCCCCUUGGCAAAUGAAAUUUUCGUUAGCAUGAUAAAGCUAACAGAUUAACGAGGCUCUGACGGAAUAUUUUGCAUAAACUGUUACAAUAUUUCUCAACGAAAUUUUUGUUUUUAGUUUCUACUUGAACGUUUUUUUCAAUAGAAAUUGUAAUGUAUAUCUGUAGUAUAUAUGAUUAACAUGAAAUGAGCGGAAUAUUUUACACGAAGUAUUAGAAUUUUUUCUCACUGUUUUGUCGCAAAUUUGUUUUCGAUAUAAUUGAUCUAGAGAUCACGUCAUAUCGUCUAUUAUAACAUUAAAAGCAAAUUACCUUAAACCAGAUGACAGCUACCACCAUAAUUCUUCUUACGUAAUUCACUUCUUUCUUGUUUGCACGAUAAAAUUGACGGAUUAACAAGAAAUCUUAAUCUCUUUUUAAGUAUCGUUCGAAAUAAAAACGCAAACAACAACACUUCCACGAGAACUUUUAUUGCAACACCAAACGCUAUUUCAGUCGCCAUGUUUGUCACGAAUCGAAUUCAAAAAAUUGAUUGUUCUAUUGGUUAUCGACCGUAUACUCGAGAUACACUUCUUUUUCGCUUGUAUAGUAAAAACGGCAAGUUAAGGAGAAACUGUUAAAAAUUUGUAUAUGAAGCAUCAGAAUUGUAACUUAAACUCUCUUUGGAAAUAACUUAAAAUUAGAAACAACAAAUAGCAUGAACUAUGCAACACAGUCCGCAAGAACUUUUGCAAUACGGAACGACAUUUCACUAACGAUAAAAUGACAGAUUAAGAGACCGAUAGAAAUGACACAUUAAGAAAUCGAUAGAAAUGACAGAUUAAGAAACUGAUAAAACACAUAUCUCUUCAAAUAUCAUGCGACGAAUACAUAAAAUGAAUAUCUAUUCAUUUAACAUCUCCACAGGAACUUUGCAACACGAAACGCUAUUUCAGUCGCCAUGUUUGUCGGGAGUUGAAUUCGACUCAUUAAAAAAGUCGAUUGUUCUAUUGAUUAUCGGUUCUCUAAUCGAGAUAUACUUCUUUUUCGCUUGUAUAGUAGAAAUGACAAGUUAAGAAGAAUCUGCUAAAAUAUUUUACAUAAGUCACCAGAUUUUGUAACUUAAACUCUCUUUCGAUAUUAUUUGAAAUAGGAAAAUAAAUAACUACUAAUAUUGAGCUAUGUAACACCCCCGCGAGAACUUUUGCAACACGAAAAGCCAUUUCAGUAAUAAUAAAAUGAUAGGUUAAGAAACUGAUAUAAUACAUAUUUCUUUAAAUAUCAUUCGAAGAAUGCAUAAAAUAAACAUAUAACAUUUCCACAAGAACUUUUGUUGCAACGCGAAAUGUCAGUUCAGUCGCCAUGUUUGUCACGAGUCGGAUUCGAUUCAUUAAAAAAAAUCGAUUGUCCGAUUGGUUAUCGAUCUUGUACUAAAGAAAUCGAAAAUUGCGGCGUGGCCAGUAGGAAGAAGACAUCGAGCGUGCUGCCACGAUGUGGCUAUCGCGUGUACACGUGUGUAUGUGCGUGUAACGUAGUGGUCUAUCAAUUUCGCGGGCCCGGACGUUUACGAGUAGAUCGUAAAAGCGGCGUAAUAGGCGCACACGGUCGUAUAUGCCGUCGCCGGGUGGCCAGGAAAUUCGAUCGAGCGCGAAGGGUUUUACGUAAGUCACGAGGUCCUUCAAUCGUCCUCUGCGUGUCGCAGCGUUCUUUGCAGAACGUUACAGUACGGUAGACAUAACCUCGAAACACAUCCUUCGAAACUGACAUUCGCUCUAAUAGCGAGAUGUCGCGAAUGUACGAAACAUCGAGAAGUAAGUUGUUCGUCUUACUUUACGUUCUCGUCUACCAGUUAUUGCACGCUGGAUACGGCCGGAUUCGCAGCAGGGAGGUUAGAAAUGAUGGUCAUUCAAUUUCUACGAAUCAAGAUCUCAGUUUUACUGUUGCACAAUGUUCAUUGGAAUUAUUGCUACGUGAUUUGACUCGUGAUUAUGUUUAAUAGGUUAUGAGGGAUUUGAGUACAAGAAUUUUGAAAAAAGAAUUUGUUCUGGCAUAAUUGAAACAAACAAUAUCUGGUAAUUAAUAGUAAUCAAUCUAGCAACUAAUUGCAAGGACAAUGUAACGAUCAAAAUUUUGUCUCAUAAUUGGAGCAAAACCAAAGUAAUCCUACUAAUUAAUUUAGAAACAACUAGGUAAGGUAAAAAAGAUUAGUAAUAAUUAUUCAUAGUUCGACAACAUUCAAAGAAGUCAAUGAAGUCUAUUUAAUAAUUGAAAUUUGCUUACCGUUAUGCUAAUCAUUUUUUCUUGAAACGAAAGUUAUUUUACACCUAUUCACUUCAUGUUAGCUCCUCUCUGUCCUAUAGAUAAUAUUUUAAACGUACCAGCCCGACUUCGUUUCCACGCGUAGCUUUAAUCUGCAUUUAUUCUUUCCCUCAAGUACAGCCGCUUAGACAAACAAAGAAAAGAACAGAGGCAUAAUUUCCCCACAUUUCCUCAGCUCUGCUGCUUUAUAUUCAUUAUCCGUGCUCUCCGCCAACGCAACGAUAUCGAAAUCCUCGUUACAGCCUCUCCAGCGUCAAAUUGAAACGCUCGACGAAAGUAAAAGUGGAAUAAGAGCAAAAGUAAAUUGAAAAAGCUCCCUCCACUUUCCAUGGGGUGUAAAUUCAAUACGCGGGCAUAUUUAUGAGCGAAACUCGACGAUCUUGAAGUAAAACAUAAAAAUAGUGUUUUGGUCAUAUUGAUACGACAAAUUGAGACACAAACAUAACCUAAUCUAAAUACAUAUUUCCUUUUCCUAUUUA